GAUGAACGCUGGCGGGGUGCCUAAUACAUGCAAGUCGAGCGAACAGACGAGGAGCUUGCUCCUCUGACGUUAGCGGCGGACGGGUGAGUAACACGUGGAUAACCUACCUAUAAGACUGGGAUAACUUCGGGAAACCGGAGCUAAUACCGGAUAAUAUAUUGAACCGCAUGGUUCAAUAGUGAAAGACGGUUUUGCUGUCACUUAUAGAUGGAUCCGCGCCGCAUUAGCUAGUUGGUAAGGCAACGGCUUACCAAGGCAACGAUGCGUAGCCGACCUGAGAGGGUGAUCGGCCACACUGGAACUGAGACACGGUCCAGACUCCUACGGGAGGCAGCAGUAGGGAAUCUUCCGCAAUGGGCGAAAGCCUGACGGAGCAACGCCGCGUGAGUGAUGAAGGUCUUCGGAUCGUAAAACUCUGUUAUUAGGGAAGAACAAAUGUGUAAGUAACUAUGCACGUCUUGACGGUACCUAAUCAGAAAGCCACGGCUAACUACGUG
rnacentral:rRNA from 1 species